rnacentral:tRNA from 1 species
AAAGUCUUAAGUUAAAAUAAACUAUUAGCCUUCAAAGUUGCAAAUGAAAAAUUUCAGACUUUG